UAGGAUUUAGUGUGAUCUGGUAGCACGAAGAUUUUUGGGUUCUUAAGGUUAGGUUCGAUUCCUAUAGUCCUAG
rnacentral:tRNA from 1 species